CCUACGGGUGGCAGCAGUGGGGAAUCUUGGACAAUGGGCGCAAGCCUGAUGCAGCUAUUCCGCGUGUGUGAUGAAGGCCCUCGGGUUGUAAACCCCUGUUGUAGAGAACGAAAGUACACCUGUUUAUAAAGGGUGGUUCUGACGGUAUCUUAAGAAUAAGCACCGGCUAACUACGUGCCAGCAGCCGCGGUAAUACGUAGGGUGCGAGCGUUAACCGGAAUUACUGGGCGUAAAGGGUGCGCAGGCGGUUGAGUAAGACCUAUGUGAAAUCCUCGGGCUUAACUCGGGAAUGGCAUAGGUGACUGCUCGACUAGAGUAUGUCAGAGGGAGGUGGAAUUCCACGUGUAGCAGUGAAAUGCGUAGAUAUGUGGAAGAACAUCGAUGGCGAAGGCAGCCUCCUGGGACAUAACUGACGCUCAGGCACGAAAGCGUGGGGAGCAAACAGGAUUAGAUACCCCGGUAGUC
rnacentral:rRNA from 1 species